rnacentral:lncRNA from 1 species
GGCGCCUUCCUCGGGGUCCCUGGGUCGCGCCCCAGCGGUGGGAAGUGCCGGCGCCGCGCGCCCUGCCAGCCCGCCGGGCCACGCCCCUCCGCGCAGGCUCCCGGAAGGGAGGGGUUUAGUCCUGGGGUGACAGCGGCCGCCUCCCGGUACCCUGAGGGGAGCUCCAGAAGGCGGUAAUUGCAUUACUGUGAGGCAGCGACCCGGCGGCUCCAGUUCAGGCGGCAAUCUGGGUCAGCUGCUCCACAACUUCUUCGCGUAUGGGAGAGAACUUGCCAGCUGCUGGGGCAACUGUGCUUACAUUUGCUGCUUUUGUGCAGAAACCCAGGAAGAUUCUAGCUACAUCAGAAACUGGUCAUUUUCUAAAACUAAAGGAGAAAACUAGGAAGGGGUGAUGAAUUCUUUCUGAGUUUCAAGUUACAAAAUAAAACGUAAGUAUUGAUGAUUUCA